AGCAUCACGCCGGGGGAGAACGGGCCAUUUUGAUGAGGUGGAUUACAGGCUCACCAAAGCCUUGAUGCUUCCA
rnacentral:tRNA from 1 species